rnacentral:misc_RNA from 1 species
AACGCACCUUGCACCCUUUGGCAUUCCGAAGGGUAUGCUCGUUUGAGUGUCAUUGUACUCUCACACUCUCACUCUUUGGAUUGGGAGCGGUGGACUUGGGUGUUGCUGCUUUACCGCGGCUCACCUCAAAUGGAGUAGUGCACCUCUCGGUUGGACAUAGUACGGCGUGAUAAGUGUCUUCGCCGGCGCCUCAUUAGAGGGUGGCCGAUCGGGAGCUCUGUGCUUCAAACCGUCUUCGGACAACAACUGACAACUGGACCUCAAAUCGAGUAGGACUACCCGCUGAACUUAA